GUGUGUGUGUGUGUGUGUGUGUGUGUGUGUGUGUGUGUGUGUGAUGGUACCAAGCCACAGGUGUUCAUCCACCCGCUGCGGCGCGUGCAGUGAAUAACCGGAGAGAUUCUCGGACGCUCCAACUGUAACACGAGGAAGGACGUCGAGGUACCCGGAAAACACCAGACUGAAAACAGACCUGACAGAGUGACCUCCUCCUCCUCCUCCUCCUCCUGCAGGAGCCGCUACAUGAACAGCUUCAACAGGAAGUGGUCACUGAAGCCCCGCCCACAGUGAGACCCGUAAACUCCACAGCUGAGGACCAACAAGGACAGGUUCAUUGAGUACUUCAUGGUUCAGGUUGUGUUCCCUCCUGUUGGUACGAGCUCCUCUGACAAACAGCCUGCUGCCAAUCAUAGAUGACCUUUAAGCACCGCCCACAGGAAGUGGGAGAGACCAUAGAGACCAGCAGAGGGCAGUAAGACAGAGACGAAGGCCUUUCAACAAAGAUGACACCAUAGAAGGAGACAGACAACCGACGUCAUUAUGAGCGAUGCGACAGUUAGCCUGUUUGCAUGAAGGACAUUCCUCUUGUCCUGUUUUUGUUUUACUGCAGAUGGAUUCACUGAAUCAACACUUUGAAGGAGACGAGCAUGAGAAGUAAAGACGUUUGAACACGCUUGAUACGCUCGACUGAAAGUGAUGUUGGUAUGACACUCAGAGUUCUCUCUGAGUGUGGCUGAAACUACACACCUGAUGGAAACAGAUCUUUGCCAGGUCAAUGAGGCGCGUAGUCAGGAUGUUUCACUUCUUCUCACAGGGACCCCCCCGAUCCUCUGUUAUGAGGAGCCGCUCUGUGUUUAUGCAGGGGACCAUCCGGACUCCCUGUCUCUCCAUUAGUCGUCCGUUCUGUCCGAUCGCUCACUCGCUCGCUGAGAGCAGCUGAUGAGUCAGAGAGCUGCGGAUGAUUU